UACGGGGGGAGCAAGCGUUGUUCGGAUUUACUGGGCGUAAAGGGCGCGUAGGCGGUCAGCACAAGUCAGUUGUGAAAUCUCCGGGCUUAACUCGGAAAGGUCAACUGAUACUGUGCGACUAGAGUGCAGAAGGGGCAACUGGAAUUCUCGGUGUAGCGGUGAAAUUCGUAGAUAUUCGCAAGAACACCAGUGGCGAAGGCGGCUCACUGGCCCGGUACUGACGCUGAGGUGCGAAAGCGUGGGGAGCAAACAGG
rnacentral:rRNA from 1 species